rnacentral:rRNA from 1 species
GAUGAACGCUGACAGAAUGCUUAACACAUGCAAGUCAACUUGAAUUUGGGUUUUUAACUUAGGUUUGGGUGGCGGACGGGUGAGUAACGCGUAAAGAACUUGCCUCACAGCUAGGGACAACAUUUGGAAACGAAUGCUAAUACCUAAUAUUAUGAUAAUAGGGCAUCCUAUAAUUAUGAAAGCUAUAAGCGCUGUGAGAGAGCUUUGCGUCCCAUUAGCUAGUUGGAGAGGUAACGGCUCACCAAGGCGAUGAUGGGUAGCCGGCCUGAGAGGGUGAUCGGCCACAAGGGGACUGAGACACGGCCCUUACUCCUACAGGCGGCAGCAGUGGGGAAUAUUGGACAAUGGACCGAGAGUCUGAUCCAGCAAUUCUGUGUGCACGAUGAAGUUUUUCGGAAUGUAAAGUGCUUUCAGUUGGGAAGAAACAAAUGACGGUACCAACAGAAGAAGUGACGGCUAAAUACGUG